GAUGAACGCUGGCGGCGUGCCUAAUACAUGCAAGUCGAGCGAACGGACGAGAAGCUUGCUUUUCUGAUGUUAGCGGCGGACGGGUGAGUAACACGUGGAUAACCUACCUAUAAGACUGGGAUAACUUCGGGAAACUGGAGCUAAUACCGGAUAAUAUUUUGAACCGCAUGGUUCAAAAGUGAAAGACGGUCUUGCUGUCACUUAUAGAUGGAUCCGCGCUGCAUUAUCUAUUUGGUAAGGUAACGGCUUACCAAGGCAACGAUGCAUAGCCGACCUGAGAGGGGGAUCGGCCACACGGGAACUGAGACACGGUCCAGACUCCUACGGGAGGCAGCAGUAGGGAAUCUUCCGCAAUGGGCGAAAGCCUGACGGAGCAACGCCGCGUGAGUGAUGAAGGUCUUCGGAUCGUAAAACUCUGUUAUUAGGGAAGAACAGAUGUGUAAGUAACUGUGCACAUCUUGACGGUACCUAAUCAGAAAGCCACGGCUAACUACGUG
rnacentral:rRNA from 1 species